rnacentral:rRNA from 1 species
AUACAGGAAGGGCAAGCGUUAUUCGAAUUUACUGGGCGUAAAGGGUGCGUAGGUUGUUGAGUAGAUUAAAUAUGAAAUACUAGAGCUUAACUCUAGAGUGGUAUUUAAUAUCUUUUAGCUCGAGUUAGAAAGGGGGUGGUGGAACUUUUAAUUAAAAGGUAAAAUUUAGUGAUAUUAGAAGGAAUACCUAUGGCGAAGGCGACCAUCUGGGUCUAACUGACGCUGAGGCACGAAAGUAUGGGUAGCAAACAGGAUUAGAUACCCCAGUAGUCC